UCUAUGUUUCUCUGUCCUGUUCACCCUUUUCCUAAUUUCUUAAAUCUGUAGUGAUAUAAGAAAUUAGGAAAAGGGUGAACAGGACAGAGAUGCUCCU
rnacentral:miRNA from 1 species